rnacentral:rRNA from 1 species
CCCCUAGAUGUUCUGGGCCGCACGCGCGCUACACUGAACAGUUCAACAAGUCUUAACCUUGGCCGAUAGGUCUGGGUAAUCUUUGAACGCUGUUCGUGAUUGGGAUAGACCUUUGCAAUUAUGGGUCUUCAACGAGGAAUCCCUAGUAAACGCAAGUCAUCAGCUUGCAUUGAUUACGUCCCUGCCCUUUGUACACACCGCCCGUCGCACCUACCGAUUGAAUGGUCCGGUGAAAUCUCGGGACGGCGGCUUGGUCGCUUGCGUCCGACUGCUGAAACUUGAUUAAACCAUAUCAUUUAGAGGAAGGUGAAGUCGUANCA